CCCCUAGAUGUUCUGGGCCGCACGCGCGCUACACUGAACAGUUCAACAAGUCUUAACCUUGGCCGAUAGGUCUGGGUAAUCUUUGAACGCUGUUCGUGAUUGGGAUAGACCUUUGCAAUUAUGGGUCUUCAACGAGGAAUUCCUAGUAAGCGCGAGUCAUCAGCUCGUGCUGAUUACGUCCCUGCCCUUUGUACACACCGCCCGUCGCUCCUACCGAUUGAGUGCUCAGGUGAAUAAUUCGGACUGCAGCAGUGUUUGGAUCCCGAACGCUGCAGCGGAAAGUUUAGUGAACCUUAUCACUUAGAGGAAGGAGAAGUCGUAACA
rnacentral:rRNA from 1 species